UACAGAGACUGCAAGCGUUAUUCGGAUUCACUGGGCGUAAAGGGUGCGCAGGCGGCCAAGUGUGUGAGGCGUGAAAGCCUGGGGCUUAACUCCAGAAUUGCACCUCAAACUACAUGGCUAGAGCAUUGGAGAGGGUAGCAGAAUUCACGGUGUAGCAGUGAAAUGCGUAGAUAUCGUGAGGAAUAUCAGUGGCGAAGGCGGCUUUCUGGACCAAUACUGACGAUCAGGUGCGAAAGCGUGGGGAGCAAACAGG
rnacentral:rRNA from 1 species